UGCACACCUGUCCAACAUUGAAGCGGCUCAUCAGAGAUGUCUCUCACUUGAUUGCUUCCUGCAACUCAGUUUGAUAUCUAGUCAAAGAAGUUAAUGAGUUGAAAGGUAAAGAAAUGAUGCAAUGGUCUAGCAUUAUGUGGUGCUCUUGAACAUGUGGAGAGUUUGAUCAAACAAUCUCGACAAUCCAUUUGAUGUAGCCAACUCCAGUGGGGUGAUUAUAACCAUUCAAUUAUAGCCAACUCCAGUUACAUAGCUGAAAAGGGCAGAGUCUGGAACUUUCUAUUUUCUAUUUUUAUGGGCAACUGUGCUUAUGGGUUUUAGGACUGGUUUGUAGGCUGAAGGGAGCAGAUUGAGGACCUUUUUUGGACUGGGUUAGAUCUGAAAUGAAUGGGCAUGUUUGGUUGAAAAUGAGCUGGUUUAUAGGUUAAGCAUGGGCAGAUGAAGAGCGUUACUGGACAGGUUUAAGGACUGGACUGUGGAAUUGAGCUUUGGGUGUUUGGUUGGAUUUGGGUAUUCUGGUGUUUUAUAUAAACCAUGCCAAGAUAUUUAGGGAUUAGAUUUGAUGAUGGGAUGUGCCUGAUUAUUUGUGUAAACAGGGGCUGUGUAUGUGGAUUUUAGGGACUGUUUUUAGGGCCUGGUUAAAAGAAAAAGAAGAAUAAAAUUGUACAGUUUUGGGUUUCGAGAAAAGUAAAAAGGAAAAAAGAAAAUAAAAACAGGAGGGAAGAACUUGCUUUGAUGUCAAAUGGAUGGGAA